rnacentral:rRNA from 1 species
GUAAACCCAAGGUUUCCAGGGGAAGGUUCGUCCGCCCUGGGUUAGUCGGGACCUAAGCUGAGGCCGAAAGGCGUAGGGGAUGGACAACAGGUUGAUAUUCCUGUACUACCGAUAACCGUUUGAGAGAUGGGAUGACACAGUAGGAUAAGCUAAGCACACUGUUGGUUAUGUGUGCCCAAGCAUUGAGGCAGUCAAAGUAGGUAAA